rnacentral:lncRNA from 1 species
GGGAAGCGGAGGGAUGAGGGCAGGCCCUCUGUCCUGGGUCACAUAUUUCAAGGAUGUUGUAAGAUUCGAGGCCAAAGCAACGAUUUCCAAUCAGAGGGGUCGUGCCCUCUGUCCCCGCCCUGCCGAAGCACUUAAAGUGACUGGUGACAACUGUUCCCUUGGGUCCUUGCAGGCUCUGAGCUUUGGAGGCCUCUUGACUGAGCAGGCUUCAGACACUGCGGACCGAAGGGGAGCCAGGGUCUGUGUCUCUGGGUGGAACACACCUAUUUGUUGUUGUUGCUGUUACUGAUUUGCCUGUUAACACAUUUUGGGUUUUUGUUUUCAUUGUUUCCUGAGGCACAGGUGGUAUACAAUCUUCUAUAAGUUCCAGGGGUACACUAUAGUGAUUCGGAGUCUUUAAAGGUCGAACUCCACUUCGAGUUAUUAUAAAACAUCAGGUAGACCCUUGCGGCCUCUGCUCCGAGCUGCCACACGUGGGUAGGAAGAUGCCCCCCCUUCCCCGCAGCCCCUUGGUCCAAACUCUCCCAGGACGGAACUGGCUCCAUUUCUUUGCCAAGCAUCCACCACCUGAAAUGCAGAGUCAUUGCCCGUCUCGCUCAGCACACAGGAAAUCAGAUGCGUCCCUGCUGAAAUGCCCUCCCUCCCUCCUCCCUCUCUCUGUCUCUCUCAAAAGCCUUUCUCUAAAGACGCCCACCUCUGAGCACUGACACAGUGGCCCCCCCUCCGCCCCCAGCCUCCGCUUCAGUUACCUGCAGGCAACCUUGUUUUGAAAAUACAAAGUGGAAAAUUCCAGAAAUAAACAAUUCAUAAGGUUGUUUGGAGGAGUUUUUUUGAUAAACAAUUCAUAAGGGUUUUUUUUUUUUUGGUUUGUUUUGUUUUGGAUUUAAUUAAAUUUUGAAUUGAAGUGGAGUCGGUUGACCAUGUUGUGUUAGUUUCGGGUACAUGGCACCGUGAUUCAGUUAUAUAUUUUUUCUAGAUUUGUUUCCCUUACAGGUUAUGAUAAAACGGGGAGCAUAUUUUCCUGAGCUGUGCAGAGGGGAGCUCGUUAUCUAGGUUAUGUCUGUUCAUCUCAAACUAAUUGAUCCUUCCCCAGCUUUUCGCUCCGGUAACCAUAAGUUUGUUUUCUGUGGCUGGGGGUCUACUUCUGCUUUGUCAAUAAGUUCAUUGCCUGCUGUGCUGAGGGCCGAGAUGAAAUUUUGCACCUUCCCACUCCAUCCUGCCCGGAUGUGAGUUGACCCUUUGAUGCUCUGCCCCCUGCCCCCUGGUCCAGGAAAAUCACGGUACCCGGAGGGCUCGCAGGGCUUGUGCCGUCAGCAUCCCUGGCGGGGGUGCUCUGGGAACGUGCCCCCGCAGACCCCUGCACACCCUCUCCAGGGAAGUACAUGUGAGGGAAAAACGUGUACUUCUGAAGUGCUUCUGCCUCUGGCCUUUUUUCCGUGGAAGCUAAAAAAUACAUCUGUGGGGUUUUUUCCAGGAAAUUAAAAAAAAAAAAAUCUCUCCAUCUCUCUUUGUCUGUGUCUCUCUCAUACGCACACACGCAGAAAGUUCUAUUAGAUUUCAAACUGGACAAAAAUUACUUCCUUUAUUUAGAGAAGUAUCAUUUGUGAAAAAAAAACCCAUGAUUUUUAAGCAUACAGAAAAGUGUGUGUGUGUAUCAGGGAAAACACUUCCUCUCUGAUUCUCCUUCUCAAGCUCGUCCUCACCAGGCAGAGAUGCUGGCUGCCUUGAGAAAAUACGUACCGGAGAGAAAAACACACACACACACACACACUCACUCGGCUGCAAGGCCUCACUCUGCCGCCCCAGAAAAGCCUGAUCUUCCCAGGAUGUUGUCUAAACACACACACACACACACACACACACACACACACGCACGGACUUGUAGCAGGAGGAACAUUGUGUGUUUCCACCCCCCCACCGCCCUCUCUGCACACCCACACUCAGGCAGAGGCGUGCCCCCCACUAAGUGUGCACCAUGUGAAAAAUCAACCCUCUUUCCUUCUCAUUCUCAGCCCACAAAGAUCUGUCUGCAGACAGAAUGGCGUCUCCCCCUGAGAAGGCUUUUCUCCCCAGACUCUGUCCCGGGGGACAAAUGCCCCCCAAGGGAAGAGCACCUGGAGAAAACGCCCACUCUCACUCCCUCUCCGUGUCUGAGAAUUGCAUGUGCAUGUGUGCGUGCGUGCGUGCGUGUGCAAAGUCACUGUUUGUGGUCUGGCUUCUUGCAAACCCCAAAUAUGCAGCCUUUUCCAGACAGAAAAACUCUGUCUCUUUCUCUCUCCCUCUCUGUCUCUCUCUCUCUCCCUCUCGCUCUCUCUCUCUCACACACACACAUGCAUGCACACACAUGUACACACACAUAGGAGAGCUCUCCUUUUCUCACUAAUGGGAUGGACCACCUGAAACACCAGCAUGUUAUAAUCACUGGCUCUUAGAAACCUCAUUCUCAGCAGAAGGUAUUGUUUUUGCCUCUCAAAAAUUCUCCCUCUAAAGAUCUGCCACCAGGCAGAAAUCACACACACACACACACACACACACACACACACACACACACACAGCAAGAAGAGAGCCGUGUGCGCGUGAGUGUGGUUAUAAGUAGAAAAAUCUCUCUGUGCUGAGCCGACUCCCUGCAAGCAGAAAAAAAAUGUCCUUUUUCCAGAAAGAAAAACUCCCAACACACAGACACACAGACACACACACCGUGGCUCUUCUUUGUGUUUGCAUCACCUGGAAAACGAGCAGACAAACAACUCACAGAAAAUUAUAUGUGUGCUUGUCUCCAGGCAAAAAAAUAAAAAUAAAAAUAAAAUUCUCUAUUUCCACUCAGAAAAGUCACUUUUUAAAAAUCAUUGGGCAGAAAUACACCCCCCCCAUCGAGACCACACCAGAUAAAACACACGUCCUCAGAAAACUGUGUGUGUGUAGGAGAAAAAAAAAAAAAA